AUUGAACGCUGGCGGCAUGCUUUACACAUGCAAGUCGAACGGUAACAGGGUGCUUGCACCGCUGACGAGUGGCGAACGGGUGAGUAAUACAUCGGAAUGUACCCAGUAAUGGGGGAUAACGCUUCGAAAGGAGUGCUAAUACCGCAUACGCCCUGAGGGGGAAAGUGGGGGACCGCAAGGCCUCACGUUAUUGGAGCAGCCGAUGGCUGAUUAGCUAGUUAGUGAGGUAAAGGCUCACCAAGGCGACGAUCAGUAGCGGGUCUUAGAGGACGAUCCGCCACACUGGAACUGAGACACGGUCCAGACUCCUACGGGAGGCAGCAGUGGGGAAUCUUGGACAAUGGGCGAAAGCCUGAUCCAGCAAUGCCGCGUGCGUGAAGAAGGCCUUCGGGUUGUAAACUGCUUUUGUACGGAACGAAACGGUCCUGGUUAAUACCUGGGGCUAAUGACGGUACCGUAAGAAUAAGCACCGGCUAACUACGUGCCAGCCGCCGCGGUAACAC
rnacentral:rRNA from 1 species